AGUGAACGCUGGCGGUAGGCCUAACACAUGCAAGUCGAACGGCAGCACAGUAAGAGCUUGCUCUUACGGGUGGCGAGUGGCGGACGGGUGAGGAAUACAUCGGAAUCUACUUUUUCGUGGGGGAUAACGUAGGGAAACUUACGCUAAUACCGCAUACGACCUACGGGUGAAAGCAGGGGAUCUUCGGACCUUGCGCGAUUGAAUGAGCCGAUGUCGGAUUAGCUAGUUGGCGGGGUAAAGGCCCACCAAGGCGACGAUCCGUCGCUGGUCUGAGAGGAUGAUCAGCCACACUGGAACUGAGACACGGUCCAGACUCCUACGGGAGGCAGCAGUGGGGAAUAUUGGACAAUGGGCGCAAGCCUGAUCCAGCCAUACCGCGUGGGUGAAGAAGGCCUUCGGGUUGUAAAGCCCUUUUGUUGGGAAAGAAAAGCAGCAGGUUAAUACCCCGCUGUUCUGACGGUACCCAAAGAAUAAGCACCGGCUAACUUCGUG
rnacentral:rRNA from 1 species